rnacentral:rRNA from 1 species
GGGUUGUGAGGUUAAGCGACUAAGCGUACACGGUGGAUGCCCUGGCAGUCAGAGGCGAUGAAGGACGUGCUAAUCUGCGAAAAGCGUCGGUAAGGUGAUAUGAACCGUUAUAACCGGCGAUGUCCGAAUGGGGAAACCCAGUGUGAUUCGUCACACUAUCGUUAACUGAAUACAUAGGUUAACGAGGCGAACCGGGGGAACUGAAACAUCUAAGUACCCCGAGGAAAAGAAAUCAACCGAGAUUCCCCCAGUAGCGGCGAGCGAACGGGGAGCAGCCCAGAGUCUGAAUCAGCUUGUGUGUUAGUGGAACGGUCUGGAAAGUCCGACGGUACAGGGUGAUAGUCCCGUACACCAAAAUGCACAGGUUGUGAACUCGAAGAGUAGGGCGGGACACGUGGUAUCCUGUCUGAAUAUGGGGGGACCAUCCUCCAAGGCUAAAUACUCCUGACUGACCGAUAGUGAACCAGUACCGUGAGGGAAAGGCGAAAAGAACCCCGGCGAGGGGAGUGAAAAAGAACCUGAAACCGUGUACGUACAAGCAGUGGGAGCACCUUUAUGGUGUGACUGCGUACCUUUUGUAUAAUGGGUCAGCGACUUAUAUUCUGUAGCAAGGUUAACCGUAUAGGGGAGCCGCAGGGAAACCGAGUCUUAACUGGGCGUUAAGUUGCAGGGUAUAGACCCGAAACCCGGUGAUCUAGCCAUGGGCAGGUUGAAGGUUGGGUAACACUAACUGGAGGACCGAACCGACUAAUGUUGAAAAAUUAGCGGAUGACUUGUGGCUGGGGGUGAAAGGCCAAUCAAACCGGGAGAUAGCUGGUUCUCCCCGAAAGCUAUUUAGGUAGCGCCUCGUGAACUCAUCUUCGGGGGUAGAGCACUGUUUCGGCUAGGGGGUCAUCCCGACUUACCAACCCGAUGCAAACUACGAAUACCGAAGAAUGUUAUCACGGGAGACACACGGCGGGUGCUAACGUCCGUCGUGAAGAGGGAAACAACCCAGACCGCCAGCUAAGGUCCCAAAGUCAUGGUUAAGUGGGAAACGAUGUGGGAAGGCACAGACAGCCAGGAUGUUGGCUUAGAAGCAGCCAUCAUUUAAAGAAAGCGUAAUAGCUCACUGGUCGAGUCGGCCUGCGCGGAAGAUGUAACGGGGCUAAACCAUGCACCGAAGCUGCGGCAGCGACGCUUAUGCGUUGUUGGGUAGGGGAGCGUUCUGUAAGCCUGCGAAGGUGACCUGUGAGGGUUGCUGGAGGUAUCAGAAGUGCGAAUGCUGACAUAAGUAACGAUAAAGCGGGUGAAAAGCCCGCUCGCCGGAAGACCAAGGGUUCCUGUCCAACGUUAAUCGGGGCAGGGUGAGUCGACCCCUAAGGCGAGGCCGAAAGGCGUAGUCGAUGGGAAACAGGUUAAUAUUCCUGUACUUGGUGUUACUGCGAAGGGGGGACGGAGAAGGCUAUGUUAGCCGGGCGACGGUUGUCCCGGUUUAAGCAUGUAGGCUGAUUAUCCAGGCAAAUCCGGAUAAUCAAGGCUGAGGUGUGAUGACGAGGCACUACGGUGCUGAAGUAACAAAUGCCCUGCUUCCAGGAAAAGCCUCUAAGCAUCAGGUAACAUCAAAUCGUACCCCAAACCGACACAGGUGGUCAGGUAGAGAAUACCAAGGCGCUUGAGAGAACUCGGGUGAAGGAACUAGGCAAAAUGGUGCCGUAACUUCGGGAGAAGGCACGCUGGUGUGUAGGUGAAGUCCCUGCGGAUGGAGCUGAGACCAGUCGAAGAUACCAGCUGGCUGCAACUGUUUAUUAAAAACACAGCACUGUGCAAACACGAAAGUGGACGUAUACGGUGUGACGCCUGCCCGGUGCCGGAAGGUUAAUUGAUGGGGUUAUCCGUAAGGAGAAGCUCUUGAUCGAAGCCCCGGUAAACGGCGGCCGUAACUAUAACGGUCCUAAGGUAGCGAAAUUCCUUGUCGGGUAAGUUCCGACCUGCACGAAUGGCGUAAUGAUGGCCAGGCUGUCUCCACCCGAGACUCAGUGAAAUUGAACUCGCUGUGAAGAUGCAGUGUACCCGCGGCAAGACGGAAAGACCCCGUGAACCUUUACUAUAGCUUGACACUGAACAUUGAGCCUUGAUGUGUAGGAUAGGUGGGAGGCUUUGAAGCGUGGACGCCAGUCUGCGUGGAGCCAACCUUGAAAUACCACCCUUUAAUGUUUGAUGUUCUAACGUUGGCCCCUAAUCGGGGUUGCGGACAGUGUCUGGUGGGUAGUUUGACUGGGGCGGUCUCCUCCCAAAGCGUAACGGAGGAGCACGAAGGUUAGCUAAUCCUGGUCGGACAUCAGGAGGUUAGUGCAAUGGCAUAAGCUAGCUUGACUGCGAGCGUGACGGCGCGAGCAGGUGCGAAAGCAGGUCAUAGUGAUCCGGUGGUUCUGAAUGGAAGGGCCAUCGCUCAACGGAUAAAAGGUACUCCGGGGAUAACAGGCUGAUACCGCCCAAGAGUUCAUAUCGACGGCGGUGUUUGGCACCUCGAUGUCGGCUCAUCACAUCCUGGGGCUGAAGUAGGUCCCAAGGGUAUGGCUGUUCGCCAUUUAAAGUGGUACGCGAGCUGGGUUUAGAACGUCGUGAGACAGUUCGGUCCCUAUCUGCCGUGGGCGCUGGAGAAUUGAGGGGGGCUGCUCCUAGUACGAGAGGACCGGAGUGGACGCAUCACUGGUGUUCGGGUUGUCAUGCCAAUGGCACUGCCCGGUAGCUAAAUGCGGAAGAGAUAAGUGCUGAAAGCAUCUAAGCACGAAACUUGCCCCGAGAUGAGUUCUCCCUGAGACUUUAAGUCUCCUGAAGGAACGUUGAAGACGACGACGUUGAUAGGCCGGGUGUGUAAGCGCAGCGAUGCGUUGAGCUAACCGGUACUAAUGAACCGUGAGGCUUAACCUUACAACGCCGAAG